rnacentral:rRNA from 1 species
GUCCAGACUCCUACGGGAGGCAGCAGUGGGGAAUAUUGCACAAUGGGGGGAACCCUGAUGCAGCAACGCCGCGUGGGUGAAGGAGUAUUUCGGUAUGUAAAGCCCUAUCGGCAGGGAAGAAGCAAGACGGUACCUGACUAAGAAGCCCCGGCUAACUACGUGCCAGCAGCCGCGGGAAUACGUAGGGGGCAAGCGUUAUCCGGAUUUACUGGGUGUAAAGGGGGCGCAGACGGCGAUGCAAGCCAGGAGUGAAAGCCCGGGGCCCAACCCCGGGACUGCUCUUGGAACUGCGUGGCUGGAGUGCAGGAGGGGCAGGCGGAAUUCCUGGUGUAGCGGUGAAAUGCGUAGAUAUCAGGAGGAACACCGGUGGCGAAGGCGGCCUGCUGGACUGCAACUGACGUUGAGGCCCGAAAGCGUGGGGAGCAAACAGGAUUAGAUACCCUCGUAA